UCGGAUUGAAGGCUGAAAUUCGCCUUCAUGAAGCCGGAAUUGCUAGUAAUGGCAGGUCAGCAUACUGCCGUGAAUACGUUCCCGGGCCUUGUACACACCGCCCGUCACACCAUGAGAGUUGGGGAUACCCGAAGCCUGUGAGCUAACUUUUAGAGGCAGCAGUCGAAGGUAGAAUCAAUGAUUGGGGUGAAGUCGUAACAAGGUACC
rnacentral:rRNA from 1 species